UAUCUUAGGAAGUAUAAUAAAGAAUAUAAUAUAGAAGCCUGAUUGGGUUUUAUCAAAAACAACUCAAUUUAUGUCAAAUAGAACUAAUAAAGUGUAUAAGAUCUAUGAUUUUAUUAGCUGCAACACGAAAAAUUGUAUUUAUCUGCUCGAAUGCCCCUGUGGUCUCCAAUAUGUGGGGAUGACCACAAGGUGUCUAAAGACUCGACUGAGCGAACAUUGCAGAAAUAUUAAAAAUGGAUACUUAAACCAUACAGUAUCCAAACAUUUUAUUAUACACAAUAAAGAUCCUCAUUUACUGAAGUGUAUUGGCAUAAAAAAAUGUUCCACCCCUUGGCGUGGGGGUGAUAUUAAAAAAAUAUUAGGAAAAACAGAAAUGGAAUGGGUGUAUAAUCUUCAGACUCUUAUACCCCAUGGUCUUAAUGCUGACUUUGAGCUGCAUAAUUUUUUAUAAUAUUAUUAGUAUCCUUGUAUGGUCUGUGUUUCUAUCUAUUUUUAAGGCUAUUUUUGUGGCUUUUUAAUAACAACCAAGGUUAUUACUAUUUUUUAUCAUCCUUUAUUUU